GCGGCCGCGGGAGGAGGGCGCCCAAGGCGGCGGGGGAGGUUAAGGCUGGCCUGCCACUCCUCCUGCUAUGAUGCCUGGGCAGAUCCCGGACCCUUCGGUGACCGCAGGCUCCCUGCCAGGGCUUGGCCCCCUGACCGGGCUCCCCAGCUCGGCCCUGACUGUGGAGGAGCUGAAAUACGCUGACAUCCGCAACCUCGGGGCCAUGAUUGCACCCUUGCACUUCCUGGAGGUGAAACUGGGCAAGAGGCCCCAGCCCGUGAAAAGUGAGGUCCACUGGCAACAUGGACUCAGAGUUGGGAAACUGAGUCCUCUCCUGGGUGAGGCUCAUCUGGCUGAACAACUGUGAAGCCAUUUAAGUCUUUUUUCCUUCUACUGUGCCCAAAAGGCGCAAGGCAACCUGGCCUGAGGUUGGAGCAUGGAGAUCUAGAAGAACUCAUGGAUGGAUUCAGGCAGGAUGUGAAAGUGCUGGGAGUGAGGGCCUGGGCCUCCUCUGGGUUUAGCCACCCUUCCAGGUUGUGUACAACCUGCCAUAUGCUGGGGCUCAUUGACUGUGCUCUG
rnacentral:sRNA from 1 species